rnacentral:rRNA from 1 species
CGAAGUCUGGUGCCAGCAGCCGCGGUAAUUCCAGCUCCAAUAGCGUAUAUUAAAGUGUUGCAGUUAAAAGCUCGUAGUUGAAUUUCGGGUUAGUAGGUUGGUCAUGCCUCUGGUAUGUACUGGCCUCACUGAUUCCUCCUUCCUGAUGAACCGUAAUGCCAUUAAUUGUGUUACGGGAAUUUGGACUGUUACUUGAAAAAUUAGAGUGUUUAAAGCAAGCUAACGCUUGAAUACAUUAGCAUGGAAUAAUGAAAUAGGACGUUCGAUCCUAUUUUGUUGGUUUCUAGGGAUUGACGUAAUGAUUAAUAGGGAUAGUUGGGGGCAUUAGUAUUCAAUUGUCAGAGGUGAAAUUCUUGGAUUUAUUGAAGACUAACUACUGCGAAAGCAUUUGCCAAGGAUGUUUUCAUUAAUCAAGAACGAAAGUUAGGGGGAUCGAAGACGAUCAGAUACCGUCGUAGUCUUAACCAUAAACUAUGCCGACUAGGGAUCGGAUGAUGUUAAUUUUUUAAUGACUCAUUCGGCGCCUUACG